CCUACGGGAGGCAGCAGUGGGGAAUAUUGCACAAUGGGGGAAACCCUGAUGCAGCGACGCCGCGUGAGUGAAGAAGUAUUUCGGUACGUAAAGCUCUAUCAGCAGGGAAGAAAAUGACGGUACCUGACUAAGAAGCCCCGGCUAACUACGUGCCAGCAGCCGCGGUAAUACGUAGGGGGCAAGCGUUAUCCGGAUUUACUGGGUGUAAAGGGAGCGUAGACGGCAGCGCAAGUCUGGAGUGAAAUCCCAUGGCUUAACCAUGGAACUGCUUUGGAAACUGUGCAGCUGGAGUGCAGGAGAGGUAAGCGGAAUUCCUAGUGUAGCGGUGAAAUGCGUAGAUAUUAGGAGGAACACCAGUGGCGAAGGCGGCUUACUGGACUGUAACUGACGUUGAGGCUCGAAAGCGUGGGGAGCAAACAGGAUUAGAUACCCCAGUAGUC
rnacentral:rRNA from 1 species